CAUCACUACGCUAGAUGCAUAUCAAUAAGCGGAGGAAAAGAAACUAACAAGGAUUCCCUUAGUAACGGCGAGUGAAGCGGGAAGAGCUCAAAUUUGAAAUCUUCAAGGUUCUACCUUGACGAAUUGUAGUUUAUAGAAGUGUUUUCUGUUAGUGGAGUGGCAAAAGUUCUUUGGAAUAGGACAUCAUAGAGGGUGAGAAUCCCGUAUUUGGUCAUUCCUCCUAGCGUUGUGAUACACUUUCAACGAGUCGGAUUGUUUGGGAAUGCAGUCCAAAAUGGGUGGUAAAUUUCAUCUAAAGCUAAAUAUUGGCGAGAGACCGAUAGCGAACAAGUACCGUGAGGGAAAGAUGAAAAGAACUUUGAAAAGGGAGUUAAACAGUACGUGAAAUUGUCAAAAGGGAAGCGUUUGACACCAGUGUUGUUUUCUCGAAAAUCAAUUAAAAAUGGCUUGAUUUUGUGUUGUAUUGACCUUAAAAGCUUUCUUCACUUUUUUCAUGUCUUUUUUAAUGCACUUUUCGUUUAACAAGUCAACAUCAGUUUCUUUUGUUGUAAAAAGGUCAUUGGAAGGUGGCUUUCUUUUCGGAGAAAGUGUUUAUAGCCUUUGACACCUACAAUCGGAGAGACUGAGGUCUGCAGCGUAGAUCCUUCUGGAUUAGAUUCAUUUGUGCUAAGUUAUAGCUUUUCAUAGACAACUUGUUGACUAUGUUUAGUCUUGUAGCUUACUCGCUUAUGUAAUUUUACCUACGCUUAGGAUGUUGACGAGACUGUCGAUCUC
rnacentral:rRNA from 1 species